rnacentral:siRNA from 1 species
UAAGAUGGAGUGUAUAGGGACUGC